GGGGAUUUAGCUCAGUGGUAGAGCGCUUGCCUAGCAAGUGCAAGGCCCUGGGUUCGGUUCCCAGCUCUG
rfam:Rattus norvegicus chromosome 1, whole genome shotgun sequence.